rnacentral:rRNA from 1 species
AUGGGGAAGAGCGAGCUGAAGGCCAUGGCGAACCGGGCGAAGGCCAAGGGGCUGCAGAAGCUGCGGUGGUACUGCCAGAUGUGCGAGAAGCAGUGCCGCGACGAGAACGGCUUCAAGUGCCACUGCUCGUCCGAGUCGCACCAGCGGCAGAUGGCCGUCUUCGGCCAGGCCCCCGACCGCGCCGUCGACCGCUUCUCCGGCAAGUUCCUCGACGCGUUCCUCGCCCUCCUCCGCCACGGCCACCGCGGCUCCCGCGUCGCCGCCACCGUCGUCUACAAUGAGCUCGUCGCCGACCGCCGCCACGUGCACAUGAACUCCACGCGCUGGGCCACGCUCUCCGAGUUCGUCGAGUUCCUCGGGGGCGAGGGGCUCGCCAAGGUCGAGCACACGCCCAAGGGCUGGUUCAUCGCCUACAUCGACGGGGACUGUGAGCAGGCCGUCAAGGCCGGGCUCAAGCGCAAGAGGGUCCUGUCCGAGGAGCUCGUGAUUGCCCGGCAGAUUGAGCGUGCCCAGAAAUCCAUGGCCAAGGCUAAUGGCGAUGACAAUGGCGACCUCGGGAAGAGCGAGGAUGAGUAUUCGGGAUCAGGGGACGCUGAUCAAGAACGACAAGGACAACGACAGGAGGAUGCCAAAGAGAUCAACAAGGCAACGGGAAAGGUUGCGAUCGCACUCCGGCGCGCCGCUCCGGCAAUGCCUGAGGUUAAGCCAGAGAUGAAAUUUGGCUUGGAUGAAGAGGAGGAGGAGGCGACCAACAAGGGGAGAGACGCAGGGAAAGCAAGGGACACGAGGAGGUCGGCCAUUGAUGAUCUGAUGGAGGAGGAGAAGGCCAAGGAGCGGAGCAACCGGAAGGACUACUGGCUGUGCCCUGGCAUAGUUGUCAAGGUGAUGAGCAAAUCACUGGCUGAGAAGGGGCACCACUACUACAAGCACAAGGGGCUGGUGAAGAGGGUGAUAGACAGGUACGUCGGCGAGAUCGAGAUGCUGGAGAGCAAGCAUGUCGUCAGGGUCGACCAAGAUGAGCUCGAGACCGUCAUCCCGCAGAUCGGCCGCCUGGUACGUGUCGUCAAUGGCGCCUACCGGGGGUCGAACGCGAGGCUGCUCUCGGUGGACACGGAGAGGUUCUCUGCCAGACUGCAGGUUGAGAAGGGCCUCUAUGAUGGGAGAAUUCUCGAGGCCGUCGAGUAUGAGGACAUCUGCAAGGUUGCUUAA